AGUGAACGCUGGCGGUAGGCCUAACACAUGCAAGUCGAACGGCAGCACAGUAAGAGCUUGCUCUUACUGGUGGCGAGUGGCGGACGGGUUAGGAAUACAGCGGAAUCUACUUUUUCGUGUGGAAUAACGUAGGGAAACUUACGCUAAUACCGCAUACGACCAACGGGUGAAAGCAAGGGAUCUUCGGACCUUGCGCGAUCGAGUGAGUCGUUGUCUGAUUAGUUGGUUGGCGGGUUAACGGCCCACCAAGGCGACGCUCGGUUGCUGGUCUGAGAGGAGGUUGACCGCCAGUGGAACCGAGACGCGGUACAGACUCCUAGGGGAGGCAGCGGUGGCGACUAUUGGACAAUGGGCGCAAGCCUGAUCCAGCCAUACCGGGUGGGUGAAGAAGGGCUUCGGGUUGUAAAGCCCUUUUGUUGGGAAAGAAAAGCAGCAGGUUAAUACCCCGCUGUUCUGACGGUACCCAAAGAAUAAGCACCGGCUAACUUCGUG
rnacentral:rRNA from 1 species